GUGUCAGCCGCCGCGGUAAUACGUAGGGGGCGAGCGUUGUUCGGAUUUACUGGGCGUAAAGAGCGUGUAGGCGGUUCGAUGAGUCGGAGGUGAAAUCCCUCGGCUUAACCGAGGUCCCGCGUCCGAUACUGUCGAACUUGAGUGCAGGAGAGGAGAGCGGAAUUCCCAAUGUAGCGGUGAAAUGCGUAGAUAUUGGGAGGAACACCGGUGGCGAAGGCGGCUCUCUGGACUGCUACUGACGCUGAGGCGCGAAAGCUAGGGGAGCAAACGGGAUUAGAUACCCCGGUAGUCCUAGCCGUAAACGAUGGGCACUAGGUGUGGGAGGUAUCGACCCCUUCCGUGCCGCAGCUAACGCAUUAAGUGCCCCGCCUGGGGAGUACGGCCGCAAGGUUGAAACUCAAAUGAAUUGACGGGG
rnacentral:rRNA from 1 species